CAGAAAUGGUGAGAAGAAAAAGCAUGAAGAAGCCGCGAAGUGUGGGGGAGAAAAGGUGGAAGAGAAGCAGCUCCUGGAGAAAAUUGUAAAAAGCCUUGCAAAGAGUUGUCGGAAGGACCGUUAUUCCUGCUGGGCAGGAGAGAGACGAGAGACCCUGAAACACGCGCCACCUAUCUUUGUGGGGAGGGAUAAUUGAAGAGCACUAAACGUGAGCAUCAUGUGAAAACGUGAUCGCCAAGUUUCUCUCUGGGAAAGGAUCUGGGAUAGAUUAUACCUUGAAGUCUCCGCAAACGCUUUAGUGGAAGAAAUGAAAUUCCACCUCCCUCCCUUCCUCCCUCCCUCCCUUCCUCCCUCCCUUUCUCUCUCCCUCCCUCUCUCCCUCCCCCUCUUCUCCCCCCUCCUCCCCCCCUCCCUAACCAUCAAGUCUUUGGCAUCAUUAUCCUCUUCACUAAAUCCUACUGGAUACAAGGCGGAAAACGGUGAACACCAUUCACAGAACUGGAGCACUCAAAGGAACCGAAAGUUAAAGGCAAAGAUCCUGUGUCUUCAAUCAAGAUCUCUUCUUCUUACAAAGAUAUCUCUAAUGGCCAGAUUUCAGAUGCACAUUAACUUGUGUGGAUUUCUCAGCACGGCUCCCAGUACUAAAGUCUUUGCCCUUUUCUCUUAGAUUUUCUUUUCUUUUCAGUUGCCAAAACCAUAUAAUAAAAUUAUAUGAAGAAACUAAA